rnacentral:rRNA from 1 species
ACGAGAAUCUGCGGAAAGAGGAUUCGUCCAAUUGAAGCAGAGGACAGUGGCGGACGGGUGAGUAACGCGUGAGGAACCUGCCUUUCAGAGGGGGGCAACAGUUGGAAACGACUGCUAAUACCGCAUGACAUAUAGAUGUCGCAUGGCAUUUAUAUCAAAGAUUUAUCGCUGAAAGAUGGCCUCGCGUCUGAUUAGCUAGUUGGUGAGGUAACGGCCCACCAAGGCGACGAUCAGUAGCCGGACUGAGAGGUUGAACGGCCACAUUGGGACUGAGAUACGGCCCAGACUCCUACGGGAGGCAGCAGUGGGGAAUAUUGGGCAAUGGGCGCAAGCCUGACCCAGCAACGCCGCGUGAAGGAAGAAGGCUUUCGGGUUGUAAACUUCUUUUGUCAGGGACGAGUAGAAGACGGUACCUGACGAAUAAGCCACGGCUAACUACGUGCCAGCAGCCGCGGUAAUACGUAGGUGGCAAGCGUUGUCCGGAUUUACUGGGUGUAAAGGGCGUGUAGCCGGGAGGGCAAGUCAGAUGUGAAAUCCACGGGCUCAACUCGUGAACUGCAUUUGAAACUACUCUUCUUGAGUAUCGGAGAGGCAAUCGGAAUUCCUAGUGUAGCGGUGAAAUGCGUAGAUAUUAGGAGGAACACCAGUGG